rnacentral:rRNA from 1 species
UACGUAGGGGGCGAGCGUUUGUCCGGAAUCAUUGGGCGUAAAGCGCGUGUAGGCGGCUCGGUAAGUCUGCUGUGAAAGUCCAGGGCUCAACCCUGGAAUGCCGGUGGAAACUGUCGAGCUUGAGUCCGGAAGAGGCGAGUGGAAUUCCUGGUGUAGCGGUGAAAUGCGCAGAUAUCAGGAGGAACACCAAUGGCGAAGGCAGCUCGCUGGGACGGUACUGACGCUGAGACGCGAAAGCGUGGGGAGCAAACAGG